AAGUCACGCAGCUGGGAGAAUCUAAAGAAGAACAAUGACUCAUAUUUAAGGGCAUCAGGCGGUUUGCUAUUUAGUUUGGAUAUAAAUCAGUGAUUAAACCGUCUGAAGCCCUGACCUGUUUUGGGCCAGCCAGAGUCAAAGUGGCGGCGGCGGCGUUCCACAGGCGACAGACUCUGCUGACCCUGCACCGCAAAAACAACAGCAAGUCGGACCCCAAACUCUGAAUCCACUCAACCACAGACUGAAGGCAGCUCCUCGUGUGAAAUGCUGUUAAUACCUGCAUAGGAAAGGCACCGCGCCGUCCUGAACAACCAACAUCUGGAAGAUGUUGACCAGCACCUCCUCAGGUAGGUCCUGACGGAAAGCCACUUAUGUCAACAAACAGAAAACUGAGGUGUUGCCUUCGGGUUCCCUAGACCUCACUCUGGAUAAACCAGUCCCACCAGCAGCUUCCACUUCCAAACCCAGUCUAACCAGCUCUUAUUUAUGCAUUUCCAUGUCAACUCUGUUGUUUUAAUAUUUCUAUAAAUAUCCAUCUGUAA